rnacentral:sRNA from 1 species
CAUCAACAUCAACACCAACAACAGCAGAGUGCUGGCCAACAACAACAAUACUGGAACUACAAUCAGAUGCAGGGUUAUGGCAACCAGCAGCAUCAGCAACAGCAACAACAACAGCAGCAGCAACAAACACAACAGGCCUGGUCACAAGGCGCUGCUGAUCCGCAGCAACAGCAACAGCAGUGGAUGUCCUGGUGGCAGCAGCAGCAGCAGGCCGGCGG